AUCUGUUAUGUCUCAAGCUGUGAACAUAAGAAGACUAACAAAACCACGCCUGUCAAGAUAUUCCAUAGGAAAUCUUGUUUGGUCUGCAAUAGCUAGCUAUAACCCAGAUGAGACAGAGAUGAGGAUGCAAGAACUAGUGGCCCUAGUAAGAGAAGGUGUUGGAAGAAUCAAUAGUGAGUACCUAAAGAAACUAUCUGGAGAGGGGUCUACAGCCAUUUAUGAGCUCCUAAACAGACUAGCAGAGAUGGCCAGUGAAAACCCAGAUGUAUUCAGCUUCUUUAGUUGGCAUACAUUUGAUUUCAGUGAAAUUGAUUUCGGGUGGGGAAAGCCCAUUUGGGUUGGCAUAUUUGGAAAGGCUAGUAGAGAUAGUCCAUGUGACUCCAAUUUCAUA
rnacentral:misc_RNA from 1 species